AUUGAACGCUGGCGGCAGGCCUAACACAUGCAAGUCGAGCGAGCGGCGGACGGGUGAGUAAUGUAUGGGAAACUGCCUGAUGGAGGGGGAUAACUACUGGAAACGGUAGCUAAUACCGCCUACCAGCAGAUGGGCCUGGAGGGGAUUAGCUAGUGGGUGGGGUAAGGGCUCGCCUAGGAGACGAUCCCUAGCUGGUCUGGGAGGUAGACUAGCCACACUGGAACUGGGAACCGGUCCGGACUCCUAGGGGAGGAGGCAGUGGGGAAUAUUGCACAAUGGGCGCAAGCCUGAUGCAGCCAUGCCGCGUGUGUGAAGAAGGCCUUCGGGUUGUAAAGCACUUUCAGCGGGGAGGCGUUACCCGCAGAAGAAGCAACGGCUAACGCCGUGCCAGCAGCCGCGGUAAUUC
rnacentral:rRNA from 1 species